rnacentral:misc_RNA from 1 species
UCGAUACCUGCCAAGCAGAACGACCAGCGAACAAGUGAAAACAACCACAUGCUGGGAAACAGGCCGGAGCGGCCUCACAGCCGCCUCCGUCCCGCAACCCAGCAAAACUUAAAAAUCCGGCGCAACCAGCGUCAAGGAAAACUUAGCGGAAACAAGGCGUCGACCUGUAACAAGGAAGACACUGGAAAUCCAAAUACUCAAACGACUCUCGGCAACGGAUAUCUCGGCUCUUGCAUCGAUGAAGAACGUAGCGAAAUGCGAUACUUGGUGUGAAUUGCAGAAUCCCGUGAACCAUCGAGUCUUUGAACGCAAGUUGCGCCCAAAGCCUUUUGGCCUAGGGCACGUCUGCCUGGGCGUCACACACAGCGUCUUCCCCCAUCAAUCUCAUUGGAUGGGGAAGGAAAUUGGCCCCCCGAACCCUUUUGGGUACGGUCGGCACAAAUGUUGGUCCUCGGCUGCGAGCAUUGCGGUCAACGGUGGUUGUAUUCUCAUCCUCGUAAUGACGUGUAUGACUCGUUGCAUGUAGGUCGAAACUAACCCUAAGAAGUUCCUUUCGAGGGCUUUUACCU